GGGGUGGUGAAGCGGGCCGGCGAGCCGCUCGGGCGGAAGGUGAGGAGGAUGCAGUGGAGAAGAUAAGGCUGGGAAAAAAAGGAAAGAAAGGGAAAUCGAGCAGCUAUCAUUCUCGAUCAAACACAAGAUUCACCUCCUGGAGAUUCGUCGGGUAUAGGAAGGUUUGCAUUGGCAUCAGAUUUGCCCCCUCUGGAGCAUAAAGAGAUUCUCCUGUUUUUACUAUGUUUCUGAUUUGAAAGGACUGCUUGCCAAGAUUUGUGGACCACUGAAUGUGCUGGGAUGUGUAAUUUUCAAUAUUAGAAUCGUCAGUCAAGAGCAAUUUAAGAUUA